CGGGAUGUAGCUCAGCCAGGUUAGAGUACACGUCUGGGGGGCGUGGGGUCGGAAGUUCGAAUCUUCUCAUCCCGACCU
rnacentral:tRNA from 1 species